GUAAUAUAUAAGGAGUAAUUUUGCAUGGUCUUCAUUAUAUUAAGUGCGGGGCUAAGAUUAGCUCUGCAGAAUUAGUAGUGUUUAGUAGCUGAUGCCUAGCAGUUAAGAUGUCCAUUUCUCUUCUAUUUUAUCUUCACAUUUACUUUUACAUGUACUACUACUAUUUCUGCAAGUCUCACAGUGCACCUGACCAUAGUCCACAAAAGAAAAAGAUAAAAAAAACAAUAAUUUAGUAAGACCAUAACAUCAUUGCACAGAGAACGUAUAAGGGUGAGCUAAAUGUAUGAAUCAAACAAAAAUCAUAGACACAGGGGAACUCUUGUGUUUUGGAAAGGGUAAAUUAUUACACAGUGGACCAGUUUCCCUUUUCAUUAAUAUAACAAAUUCUGAACAUCAACAGUGCUUAACCAAAAAUAAUAUCUCAACUUGUAAUAGCUGCUUUAAUAACCUUUGAUGUCCAUAAAAUAUGAACUGCUAGAAAUGUUUUGUGGCCUGUCAGUAGUGCACAAAUCAAGAUAACACUUCCAAUGAUGUUAUCCAUUUAACCAGAAAACUUUUCAAUAUCAGAACUGCAAUAAGUCAAUUGACAAUUUUUUUCCAUUAAG
rnacentral:lncRNA from 1 species